rnacentral:rRNA from 1 species
GGGUCAGUAGGCUGGUCGUGCCACCGGUACGUACUGGUCUCACUGAUUCCUCCUUCCUGAAGAACCGUAAUGCCAUUAAUUUGGUGUUGCGGGGAAACAGUACUUUUACUUUGAAAAAAUUAGAGUGUUUAAAGCAAUCUAACGCUUGAAUACAUUAGCAUGGAAUAAUGAAAUAGGACGAUCGAUCCUAUUUUGUUGGUUUCUAGGAUUGACGUA